rnacentral:tRNA from 1 species
GCCUGGGUGGCUCAGUCGGUUGGGCAUCCGACUUCGGCUCAGGUCGUGAUCUCACAGUCCGUGGGUUCGAGCCCCGCGUCAGGCU